CCUACGGGUGGCUGCAGUGGGGAAUAUUGGACAAUGGGGGGAACCCUGAUCCAGCCAUGCCGCGUGUGUGAAGAAGGCCCUCGGGUUGUAAAGCACUUUCAGUGAGGAAGAACGCCUGGUGGUUAAUACCCAUCAGGAAAGACAUCACUCACAGAAGAAGCACCGGCUAACUCCGUGCCAGCAGCCGCGGUAAUACGGAGGGUGCGAGCGUUAAUCGGAAUUACUGGGCGUAAAGCGCGCGUAGGUGGCUUGAUAAGCCGGUUGUGAAAGCCCCGGGCUCAACCUGGGGACGGCAUCCGGAACUGUCAAGCUAGAGUGCAGGAGAGGAAGGUAGAAUUCCCGGUGUAGCGGUGAAAUGCGUAGAGAUCGGGAGGAAUACCAGUGGCGAAGGCGGCCUUCUGGACUGACACUGACACUGAGGUGCGAAAGCGUGGGUAGCAAACAGGAUUAGAUACCCGAGUAGUC
rnacentral:rRNA from 1 species